GGGAGACGCGUUAGUCGAGGAGAGAUUUGGAAUAAGGUGCAUAAGAGAAAGGAUGUCUCUUAUAUCCAUAAUAAUGUGCAAACCACGGGUGAAACGAUUAUGAAUAUUGCGUGUUUAGAUGACUCUUCUAGGGAACUACCACAAAAUGAUCCAGUUACUCAAGCUCUUGAAAAAAGAACACCCAGGUCGAGUUCAUGGUGUGGGUUUCAAGCCAUGUUCUACUCAACGCUCUGCUGGUCAAACUGCACAACAGUUGAGUCAUGGAGCUCAAAUAGAGCUGAAUUAGAGUGUACUUGUUGAACUACAGGCAACGAUGGCAGCAGAGAAGUUGAAACGGCAGGCCAUGGAAAAUGUUUUGAGAGGUGAAAACUCAAUCAACUUCACGUGAAGUUGAUAGCUGAGAGCUGUUAAAUGAUUUGAAUGAUUUGAUUAAAUUUUUAUCUAACUACUCUCAGUUAUUAACUUUACGUAAAAUUAACUGCACCUAAGUUUCCACCGUUUUGAGAUACCUUAUUCAACAGCAAGGAGAUGAUUUACCAUCUGACGUUGCGGCAUGGUUGAAUUCCUUGACAUCGGACAAGCGGAGUGCACCGAUUUCGUCACCUGUAAGGCCAUCUUCUUGUGGCAGUUAAAGGAGUAGCGACAAUUUUAGAAUUGCUGCAAUGAAACAAGACAUACAAUUCAAAUUUGCAGCGGCUAAAGGAAAGUCACAAGUAUGUGGCUAUUGAAAGCGCCACUAAAGAUAUGCGUUGCAAGUGCCAAUAAAGUGACCCUUGCUAAUUGUUUGUCAAGUUAAUUUACACGUAAUUUUAAUUUAACUUAAUUUAGGCACAUGCCCACAAAACGUGGUUGAA